GACGAACGCUGGCGGCGUGCCUAACACAUGCAAGUCGAACGGUGAAGCCCCAGCUUGCUGGAGUGGAUCAGUGGCGAACGGGUGAGUAACCCGUGAGCAACCUGCCCCUGACUCUGGAAUAAGCUCUGGAAACGGCGUCUAAUACUGGAUACGAGAAGUGUCCGCAUGGGCACUUUCUGGAAAGUUUUUCGGUUGGGGAUGGGCUCGCGGCCUAUCAGCUUGUUGGUGAGGUAAUGGCUCACCAAGGCGACGACGGGUAGCCGGCCUGAUAGGGCGACCGGCCACGCUGGGACUGAGACGCGGCCCAGACUCCUACGGGAGGCAGCAGUGGGGAAUAUUGCACAAUGGGCGAAAGCCUGAUGCAGCGACGCCGCGUGGGGGAUGACGGCCUUCCGGUUGUAAACCUCUUUCCGCUGGGAAGAAGCGAUAGUGACGGUACCUGCAGAAGAAGCACCGGCUAACUACGUG
rnacentral:rRNA from 1 species